rnacentral:misc_RNA from 1 species
AAGUCGUAACAAGGUUUCCGUAGGUGAACCUGCGGAAGGAUCAUUACAUGUUGCCCAGGGGCGGGCACUGCGGCCAGCCCUCCAGCUGGCCAGCAGAGCCCGUCUGUCUGCAUCUCCCCUUGCUUUUUGCGUACCUUCUGUUUCCUCGGCAGGCUCGCCUGUCCGCAGGACCUUUUUGAACCUUUUGCAAUGGCAGUCUGCGUCCGCAAACACAAAUGGUUACAACUUUCAACAACGGAUCUCUUGGUUCUG